CUUCACCGACCCCAGCCGCAACGGCCGGUCGCGGUCCUGCCCGUAGGUGGCCAGCAGGGCCUGGGCUUC
rnacentral:antisense_RNA from 1 species